rnacentral:rRNA from 1 species
UACGGAGGGGGCGAGCGUUAUUCGGAAUUAUUGGGCGUAAAGGGCGCGUAGGCGGCCCUGCAAGUCAAAGGUGAAAUCCCUCGGCUCAACUGAGGAACUGCCUUUGAAACUGCGGGGCUUGAGGCCGGGAGGGGGUAGCGGAAUUCCCAGUGUAGCGGUGAAAUGCGUAGAUAUCGGGAGGAACACCAGUGGCGAAGGCGACUACCUGGCCUGUUCUUGACGCUGAGGCGCGAAAGCUAGGGGAGCAAACGGG